GAUGAAGAACGCAGCGAAGUGCGAUAAGUAAUGUGAAUUGCAGAAUUCAGUGAAUCAUCGAAUCUUUGAACGCACCUUGCGCUCCUUGGCAUUCCGAGGAGCAUGCCUGUUUGAGUGUCAUUAAAUUCUCAAGACCUGUCUGCUUUUUUGAUAGGUAUUGGAUUUUGGGGGUUGCAGGCUGUUUCAAAUAAAUAGCCUUGCUCUCCUUGAAUGUAUUAGUGGAGAAAAGCCAUUGAACUCCAUUGGUGUGAUAAAACCUAUCAAUGCCAGGAGCAAUAUCACUACUUCUCUCUGCUGUCUAACUGUGACUGUCUGUAUUAAUUAGUAUGGAUGGGGACAACUUGACCAACUUGACCUCAAAUCAGGUAGGACUACCCGCUGAACUUAAGCAUAUCAAUAAGCGGAGGA
rnacentral:misc_RNA from 1 species